rnacentral:rRNA from 1 species
UGCAGUCGAACGAUGAAGCCGGGUGCUUGCACCGGGUGGAUUAGUGGCGAACGGGUGAGUAUCACGUGAGUAACCUGCCCUUGACUCUGGGAUAAGCCUGGGAAACUGGGUCUAAUACCGGAUAUGACCAGUCCUCGCAUGGGGUGCUGGUGGAAAGAUUUAUCGGUCUUGGAUGGACUCGCGGCCUAUCAGUUUGUUGGUGAGGUAAUGGCUCACCAAGGCGAUGACGGGUAGCCGGCCUGAGAGGGUGACCGGCCACACUGGGACUGAGACACGGCCCAGACUCCUACGGGAGGCAGCAGUGGGGAAUAUUGCACAAUGGGCGCAAGCCUGAUGCAGCGACGCCGCGUGCGGGAUGACGGCCUUCGGGUUGUAAACCGCUUUCAGCAGGGAAGAAGCUUUUUGUGACGGUACCUGCAGAAGAAGCGCCGGCUAACUACGUGCCAGCAGCCGCGGUAAUACGUAGGGCGCGAGCGUUAUCCGGAAUUAUUGGGCGUAAAGGGCUCGCAGGCGGUUUGCCACGUCUGCUGUGAAAGCCCGGGGCUUAACUCCGGGUGUGCAGUGGGUACGGGUAGACUAGAGUGCAGUAGGGGAGACUGGAAUUCCUGGUGUAGCGGUGAAAUGCGCAGAUAUCAGGAAGAACACCGAUGGCGAAGGCAGGUCUCUGGGCUGUUACUGACGCUGAGGAGCGAAAGCAUGGGGAGCGAACAGGAUUAGAUACCCUGGUAGUCCAUGCCGUAAACGUUGGGCACUAGUGUGGGGGACAUUCCACGUUUUCCGCGCCGUAGCUAACGCAUUAAGUGCCCCGCCUGGGGAGUACGGCCGCAAGGCUAAACUCAAAGGAAUUGACGGGGCCCGCACAAGCGGCGGAGCAUGCGGAUUAAUUCGAUGCACGCGAGACUUACC